AACAAAUCCAUCACCCAACUCGUAACUCAGCAAUCAGUGGAGCUUUUCCCUUCUUCAAUUCUUUUCAACAACAAGCUUAUCAUUUUUCUUCUUUCACGGAAGGUUUCUGCUUCUGUAUUUUUACAGAAAGCCUGCAUUGAUCUCAUCUAUGAUAAUCCACACAGACAACAACCCACAAAAUCCUUGAGAAAAGGUUUGAUCUUACACCCAUCUAUUCAUGACUUAUAUACUCUUUUCACUACUUCACAAAGAAGACAAUCACGGAUGGCACAUACAUAUUUCAUAUACAGAAUCAACACUAACAAGGAUUUCACUUUUCACUCAUAAGAACAAAACAUGUAUUGAAAUUUGUAGAUUUAUUUACACACCUGCAAAUCUUGUCUUAUAAUUGAGAUCAUUAAAGAGAUGGAAUAAAAAGAAGAAGCUUUUUGUGUAUAUGUUGGUGUGUGUACUGCUGUGUGCGUGAGUCUUAGAGGGGCUGUGUCGUCGUCCGAACUGAGGGAGAACGGAGGAGGGAGAGGGGAUUGGCGACGGCGGCGGUGGCCUGAUGCUCCUGCUGCCCGUCGAUCCAGAGAGGGUGAGAGUGGCGGUGGCGGGUAGCUACUGCUGCUGCUCUCCGGCUGAAACAGAGGGAGUGGGGCGACGAUGUCAGAGAGAAUGAGGGAGGCGGCGAUGGCGGUGGUCCGGCUGACCGCUGUUUUCGGCUGAAGCAGAGGGGGCGGUUCCGGCGGUUACGUCGCCGGAAAUCGAAGGAAAGAGAACCUAGGGUUGCUGAUUUGGGAAAUUUUUGUGAGGGAAGAGAUAAGGGGGACGAGCGAGAGAGCGAAAGUCGGGAGAAGGAAGGAAAGUCAGAGGGAGCGGCGGCGGCGGCACUCGCCGGCCGUCUGUCGACGGGAAAUUGAGAGAAAAGGGGGAGAGUUUCAUUAGCUACUUCAUCUGGUUCAGUUUUGAGAAUGAAAGAACGGGGUUUGAGUGAUUUUGAUGAGGGGAAGAAGGUGGUGGUGGCAGCUGGUGGCGAUUUCGCCGGGAAUGGAAGGCGGCGGCGUCGACAGGAGAGAAGAGGAAAAGAGAGAGAGACCGAAGGGGAGAGUGAGAGAGUGUCUGUGUGUGUACGUUGAGAAAAAGGAGAAGAAAGGAGAGAUUGAAGAAGGUGAGUUGGGCUCUAGCUUUGGGCCUUUAAUUUUAUUAAGUGGGCUGCAUUUUUUAUAACUUGGGCUUCAUGCAUAUAUUUCUAUUGGGCUGCAUGUUUAUUUGUUUGGUUAUAUGUUUUAAUUAUAAGUUAAAGUCUUACAAAUAUUUGUAAGCAAAAUAUUUUUAAGUUGAUUUUAUGCUCAAGAUGAGUUUUUAAGUAAAAGCCGAGCAAGGAUAUUAUUGAAAUCCUUAGCCAAGAAAAAUGAUUUUCAAGUUUUAUGUUGAAUUUUUGAAAAUCCGGGUGUUGCGAAUCUAGUUAGAAAUGAUGACAAGUCAUGAAGGUUAAGCUUGAUUUUAGGACUAUGAGUUUAAGUUGAGAACUUAUCUUGUAGGUCCUACAGAAGAGGAUAUUUAGGCUCUUGUUCAGCUGAGUUAUUUGUUUGGAUUUUCUCCAAAUCAGGUGAGGCUUUAUUUACGAAAUGUAUGUUUGAGCUAAUAAGCUCGGUUUUAUGUAAAGUUAAAGAUGAUGGUUCAUGCUUAAAAUGUUUUUGCUCUCUAUUGGUUACUGCUUCUACCAGAACAUUGUUGGCUCCGCCAACCAGAACAUUGUUAGCUCUGCUAACCAGAAUUGUGUACGUACACCAGAACCUGUUGUCUCGAGAGAUCGGUGACAACCAGUUGUAGAUAGCAUGCCCAAUAGAUGGCCAGGAAAAUAUGAGCUCAGAUUAUUUUAGUAUGCAUGGAAUGACUCGUCUUUAAAAACAUUCUGUGUUAUACUGUUUAAAGGCAUGAAUUAUCUUUUUCAGUAAAUGAUUUUUAAAAUGUUUUUAAAUGGCUCAACCCACUGAGUACACUAGUACUCAGCCCUGCAAUUGUUUUCAAAACCUUUUGCAGAUUGAGCAGCUGGUGGUGACGUGCGAGGCUGAGGAAGGGUUGUUGCUGUGGAUUCUGAAGAAAUACUGCGUUUACUUCUCCUAAAAUAAAUUCACUUAGUGAAUAUUAUCUGAUGCCUAAUUAUAUUAAUACUUUUAUUCAUAUUUCUAAUAUGAAUUUCAUUCUCCAUCACUUUUCUAGCGAUUGUUUUUCGCAUCUAUUAUAUGCUUAGUAUGAGACGUUGUUUUGGUCUCAGACCUUCGAACUUCCGAUCCUGAUAGGGAGAAUAAUUAUGUUAUAAUGUCGUACUUGUUUUCAUUUAAAUACGGCAUAAUGUCCAACCCUCAGGGCACAUUACCUAUUUUAUUCAAGUAAAGCUUAGUAGUCCUGUCACAUAGCCCAUUUCUUAUUCUCCCGGGAAAUCAGGGCUGUCACAAUAUACCAAGCAUACAAUUUUAAUUCACUUGGUGGAUACAAAAAUUUAUAUUUUGUAGUAAUUCAAAUUUUCCCAUGAUAAAGUUAAAUAUAAUAUCAAUGUGGGAAUAAUGAAUGACUAAUGUAAGAAUGUGAAUGACCUUUUAUUUAGGUAAUGAAUUGCUAAAGUUUGAUAUGUUUUCAAUGUGGGAUAAAUGAAUUAAGAUAGCAAAGAAUAGUGAAUGGAGAAGAUGUCACCUAGGAUUGAGGAUGAAUGUGGUGUGUCUAAUAUGUAUUGCUUUAUAGAAUUGAUAGAUUAUUACUAAUUUAUUUCUUAAAACAUGCUAAAACGUGCUUUAUUUCACAUUUAUUCCUUAAAACAUAGCUUUAAAUGAUAAAACAAGCUACAACAUGCUAAGAAGUGAGAAUUCACUUCUAUUACUAAUAUCAAAUUUAAAUGAUAAAACAUACUCCCUCCGUCCCGCUUCAUUUUGCCUACUUUUCUUUUUGGAUCGUCUCACUUGACUUGACAUAUUUUCUUUUUUAGUAAUAAAUUUUCACUACAAAUGACAUAGGCCCACAUAUUUUACACUACUUUACACUACAAUCUUAUUCUUGUUAAUCGUGCCGAAAAGAACUAAGUCAAGUGAAGUGGGACGGAGGGAGUUUUAAUUUAUUCCAUAAAACAUAGCUUGAACAACAUUAUAAAAAUAAUAGUAAUUACUAAUUUAGAGCUUAAAAAACAUGCUAUAUUCAUCCUAAAAAAUCAAAUGAACAAUAACAUUAUAGCAUCAAACAAAAUAUUCAAAAUAAACAAUAAACAUCUUUGAUUCUUUAAUUACAUUUUAAAUAUAAAAUAAUUAACAUUAUCUUUUUUAUUUUGGAGGUGAGAAUUCACGUCAAAUAGCUAUACCACUUGGAAAAGAUUAUUAUUUGUGUUUGAGUUUGAGUGUGUGCGUAUUUUGAAUUUGUAAUGGUGUGUGCCCAUCGGUCAUCAUAUUUGUAAAUAGAAUUACUAUUUUUAAUUCUUCAUUUCACAUCAAUUUCAAUGAAAUCAAAUACAUUUCAUGUGAAUACUUUACACAGACUGCUAUUUUGCAUCAUAUUUAUCGUUUAUAAUCAAUGUUUUUCUAAAAUAAAAUAAAAUAAAAAAUAAUCUAGUCGAUCGACCAGAUGUUUUCCAUGGCCGACCACUUUUUUUUUGAAGUGUGUUUCGAGUGCUAAUAAAAAAUAUACUCCCUCGGUCCCACCGAAAGUGAGUCCUAUUCCUUUUUGGGCCGUCCCAAUGAAAGUGAGUCGUUUCAUUUUUUGGUAAAAAUUAGAGAAUUUAAGGCUCUGUUAAUAAAACUAAUUACACAUAUAAUUAAAUAUAUCUAUUCUAUAAUACGAUUAGGCCUUAGCCUAUGUGGCAGGCCUUAAAUUCUUUCUUUUCAAUCUCAAUCUCCAACGUGGCAUUUGAGAAUCCAAUCUAUAUAUUCUCAUUCUCACUUUUAAAACAAAAGUCACGCCUCCCUCUUCCUCACCCCUCCCUCUUCCUCACCCCAUCGCCGCCGUCCCUGAAUCCGGUCGGCGUCGUCUCCCCCUUCACUGCCUUUCUCUUCUCUCAAUCCUUUUCUCUCUCUAAAGUCGAUUGCACACUCAAAUCGAGCCCUAAUUCCCCCCUUAAACUGCCCGCCUCUCUCUCCCUCUAAAUUCAGGCGUCGCCGCCGUCCUAAGGGCGGCGUUGCUCCACCUCAUCUCUGACUCCCUCUUCCAUUCCUUAAUUAGUUCGAUUAUGUUUCCACUUCUUAAACCAAUGAGAAUUCUCCAUUCGAAGCAAUUAAUACAAGAGCCCUAAGAUUUCUUUUUCCUAUAACCCGUUGCCGUUCCUUCUUCUAGACUCCGGCGAAAUAGUCGCCGCUGAGCUUGCGGUUCGUCCGCCGCCGAGUCACCGCUGAGCCCUGGAGUUCGUCCACCGUGCCGUCGACCCCCACCCCACCGACGACUUCUCUGUUUUGAUACCUCCAUUUCCUGAUCUGCCGUGAUUCUUCCUACACACCUAUGGUAAGUAUUAAAUUAGUUUCCUAAUUUAAUAACGUGUUUCACUAUUUUAAAUAUAGAAUGAUUAUUAUUUUAGAAAGAACAAAUUUUGGAAAGAAUUUUGGCAUCUGCUAUCAAGCGUGUUGUGAUUGUUGCAUGGAAGCAAUAUGAUUUAUCAACUCUGAUGAGGGGUGAAAUAUGCAAGGUCCUAAGAUCAGGACACGUGGCUUUGCUUGGAAUACCAAAGUGGAAUACCAAAGAUGAGCAGCAGGGAGCAAAGAAGCUGUGAGAAAUAGGCAGAGGGAAAAGUCCAGAGCAGAGCUAAACCAGAGCAGAGUUGCCAAAGCAAAGCUCCAGAGCAGAGUAACCAGAGCAGAGCUCCAGAGCAGAGGCCAGAGCCAAGUGCCAGAGCAGAGCUGCCAGAGCAGAGAUGCCAGAGCCAGAGCUAGCCAGAGCAGAGAUGCCAGAGCCAGAGCUAACCAGAGCAGAGAUGCCAGAGCAAAGCUCCAGAGCAGAGCUUCCAGAGCAGAGUUGCCAGAGCAGAGCUUCCAGAGCAAAGCUGCCAGAGCCAGAGCUAACCAGAGCAGAGCUUCCAGAGCAGAGGGCCAGAGCCAAGUUGCCAGAGCAGAGAUGCCAGAGC
rnacentral:lncRNA from 1 species